ensembl:snRNA LOC120102589 U6 spliceosomal RNA
CUGCUCACAUUGGCAGCACAUAUACUAAAAUUGUAACAAUACAGAGAACUAGCAUGGCUCCUACUCAAGGAUGACACAUAGACUCAUGAAGCAUUCCAUAUAUUU